GUAACUGCUCCGGUGGCCUAGUGCUUAGAGCGUUCGACUCAGAUGCGGAAGGUUGUGGGUUCGAUCACCGGUCUAGUUACA